UGUAGAUUGCUAAUCCGGUCAUUGGCAGGGCACUUUUCCUCAAAAACAGGCAAUUUUCCGCACUUUUCCACACUGCACUCGCAAUUGCCCUUCUGUUCUGUGUGUUUUACAUUCAAAUUUUCUAUUUUCCAGAGCGUUUUUCGAUUUCAACAUGGACCGAUCUGCGCGGAAGCGAGUUCAAAGCGUUACUAACAACCAACUGGUUUGGAAUUAAAACCCACUGGAAAGUCAAAAGCCGCACAGCAAGCGGAGAAAGAGAGUGAGCAUAUAGAGAGAGAGAACCGACAGAGAAAUAUAUAUAUAUGUAUAUGCAUUUAUGUAUGCUUUUUGUUGGCGGUCUUAAGCUCGAGUUACAUGAAACGAAAGCAGAGCAGAAACGUGAAAAAGAUCACACGAGCUAUGAUCGACGACUUAAAUACCUUCGAUAAUGAUACAACUAACUAAUUAACUUAGAAAUCAACUAACUUGGUAAUCAACUAUUUAAGGGCCAAUACUUGGAGUUCAACACGCACGAAUCGGAUAUUAAUGAGAACAUAUAUCUUUUACAAUUUGACUCCUGUGCAUUCAAAUCAACAUUUUAUUGAAGAAACUCUCGGCAACUCACAACGCAGCAAACUAAACAUAGCUCCUAAUUCGCUUAUGCACUGCCAGGAACUUUAAGCUAAACCACUUUCAACGACAUCAAAAUAACCAGCCGUCAUAACAAUGGGCAAAAAAGCAAGAGAAAUCCUAAAGAAAGCUCCCAAAUCAGCUGUCACAGUGGAAUAAUAAAAAUAAUUUAUUUGCAUUUUAUUUGCCCAGCCUGGGAGUCUGGGUCGGACUUGUUCUCUAGGACCAAAGACCAAGGACCAAGGACAACAAGUUGCUGACACACAAACGGAAAGGACGCACAAAAAAAGGAGGAAAUUAUACGGAUUUGACAGAUGAGCGAAGGUAAGUGGAGCACAACUUUCGCAGCGGCUUUAAAUUGAGCAGAAAUUGUUUGUCACUGUGUUUGCUGGCCCCUUUUGGGCUUUGCUCGUAUUUUAUUUCAUUUCAUUUCUUUUUCCC
rnacentral:sRNA from 1 species